AUACUUACCUAGGAUGAGGUCAAUGGAUGAUCAAGAAGAUCCAUAGCCUAGUGUAGUAACCUCCAUUGCACUUAGGAUGAGUGCUGCUCUAAAGUCUAUUCAAGUGACAGAACCUACAUCAUAAUUUGUGGUAGUGAGGUCUGCAUGCUGCUCCUUU